UCAUUCAGUUGUCUCAACCAGAGGCAAGAGGGCUGGCCUUUAGCACCCCCAUAUCAGACAGCCCCUGACUGUGGGCUGCACGUGGGGGGAGUAGCAGUCCCCCUUACCACCCCCACCCCCACAUCUCCAGAGAAGGGGACACUCAUGAGCACAAGGCAUUCUCCAGAGAAGGGGCAGGUGAGAGCCACUGGCCGCCAACACAGAAGCAGGAAGUAGACCUCUCCGAACGAUGGCUCACCUCAUGGCCACUGGCUUCACUAGAGCAAGAGACAAGAGAGAGUGCCAGCAAGAAGGAGAAUCCAGCAGGACAGCAGUCCUGGAAGUGAUAUCCCAUCAUUUUUGCCGUGUUCUACUAGGUAGAAGUGAGACGUUCAGCCCACAUGCAAGAUGAGAAAAUUAUACAAGGGCAUAAAAACCAAGGGGCAGGGACCAUUGGAGACCAUCUUAGAUGCUGCCUACCACAGGAACCAUGCAGUUAUCUGGGGGAAGAGCAUUCAAGGUGGCGGGAACAGCAUAUGCAAAGGCCCUGAGGCAGGAACAAGCUUAAACUUUGGUGGGGACAAGGACAAUGUGACUAGAGCAGAGACUAAGGGGAAAGAGUAGAACAUGACGGCAGAGACCUGCAGUCAUUCCGAGGGCUGUGGGAAGAAAUCCUACAUUUUUUUCUAAUAGCCAUGAGAAACCAAUGAGAAACUGGCCAAUUUCAAAGCAAGACAUGAGCCAUCUGAUUUACAUUUUGAGAAGAUUCCUAUGAUACUUGCAGAAGUAGUUUGAUACCUGGGGUUUGCUUUAAAAUAUUCCCUUAAAAAACAGGUUGGAACCUAAUUACUGCCCCUCCUACCCACCCCCCAAAAAACACAAAAAAACAAGUUGGAAGGUGAGAGAUGAAACAAAAUGGCCAAAAUGUGGAUUAUCAUAAAAGUCAGGCGAUGGGACCCAUAUGGGCUUUGCACACUGUUCUCUCUACUUCAGCAUGUGCAUGAAAAUUUUCUAUACCAAACAGGGAAAUCUUACAGACAAAUCAUGUAUCUAGUUUCUGAGGAGUGAAAGAGAACUGUUGGGAAGCCAGGGCAAAAGCAGGGCUUCAAGGCAGGGGCGACAGCAAUGGUCCAGGCUAUAAGACACCCACAUGCCCAGAAUUAGAGGCUGACGAUACCAAGUGUUGACAAGACGUGGAGGAACUGAAACUCUCUUCCACUGCUGGUGGGCAUCAAACAGUCUGCCAGGCUGGUUUGCUGGUUUUUAUAAAGUUCCAUGCUCACCACACAGCCCAGCAAUUCCAUUUGUGGGUAUUUACCCGAGAGAAAUGAAAACAUGUCUGCACAAAGAUCUGCUGGCAAAUGUUCACAGCAGCUUUAUUGGUUUUUGAAAAAACAAAAAAAAACAGAAACCCAAACUGGAAACAUUCCAAAUGUCUAGGACAAGAGAAUGGAUAAACAAAUUGAGGUCCAUUCAUACCAGGGAAUACUCUGCAGCAGU